UACGAAGGGGGCUAGCGUUGUUCGGAAUUACUGGGCGUAAAGCGCACGUCGGCGGGUCUGUAAGUAGGGGGUGAAAUCCCAGGGCUCAACCCUGGAACUGCCUUCUAGACUGCAGGCCUUGAGGUCAGGAGAGGCGAGUGGAAUACCGAGUGUAGAGGUGAAAUUCGUAGAUAUUCGGUGGAACACCAGUGGCGAAGGCGACUCGCUGGACUGAUACUGACGCUGAGGUGCGAAAGCGUGGGGAGCAAACAGG
rnacentral:rRNA from 1 species